rnacentral:rRNA from 1 species
GUUUCCUACGGGACGCAGCAGUGGGGGAUAUUGCACAAUGGGGGGAACCCUGAUGCAGCGACGCCGCGUGGGUGAAGGAGUGCUUCGGCAUGUAAAGCCCUAUCGGCAGGGAAGAAGCAAGACGGUACCUGACUAAGAAGCCCCGGCUAACUACGUGCCAGCAGCCGCGGUAAUACGUAGGGGGCGAGCGUUAUCCGGAUUCACUGGGUGUAAAGGGGGCGCAGACGGCGAUGCAAGCCAGGAGUGAAAGCCCGGGGCCCAACCCCGGGACUGCUCUUGGAA